GUGGGGAAUAUUGCGCAAUGGGGGAAACCCUGACCCAGCGACGCCGUGUGAGGGAAGAAGGCCUUAGGGUCGUAAACCUCUGUUGUGUGGGAAGAAGAGCGUGACGGUACCACACGAGGAAGUCCCGGCUAACUACGUGCCAGCAGCCGCGGUAAUACGUAGGGGACGAGCGUUGUCCGGAUUUACUGGGCGUAAAGGGCGCGUAGGCGGUCAUUUAAGUCCGCUGUGAAAUGGUUUGGCUUAACCGGAUCAUGCGGUUGAAACUGGAUGACUGGAGUGCUGGAGAGGCAAGUGGAAUUCCCAGUGUAGCGGUGAAAUGCGUAGAUAUUGGGAAGAACACCGGUGGCGAAGGCGACUUGCUGGCCAGCAACUGACGCUGAGGCGCGAAAGCCAGGGGAGCAAACGGGAUUAGAAACCCUAGUAGUCC
rnacentral:rRNA from 1 species